rnacentral:rRNA from 1 species
GUAAGGAAUAUUGGUCAAUGGACGCAAGUCUGAACCAGCCAUGCCGCGUGAAGGAUGAAGGCCCUCUGGGUUGUAAACUUCUUUUAUAGGGGACGAAAAAUAGGUAUUCUUACUUACUUGACGGUACCCUAGGAAUAAGCACCGGCUAACUCCGUGCCAGCAGCCGCGGUAAUACGGAGGGUGCAAGCGUUAUCCGGAUUUACUGGGUUUAAAGGGUGCGUAGGUGGGCAGGUAAGUCAGUGGUGAAAUCUUCGAGCUUAACUCGGAAACUGCCAUUGAUACUAUCUGUCUUGAAUUAUCUGGAGGUAAGCGGAAUAUGUCAUGUAGCGGUGAAAUGCUUAGAGAUGACAUAGAACACCCAUUGCGAAGGCAGCUUACUACGGAUCGAUUGACACUGAGGCACGAAAGCGUGGGGAUCAAACAGGAUUAGAUACCCUUGUAGUCC